UUCAUUCCUUUGAUAGUGUCCUUUGAAGCACAGAAGUUUUAAAUUUUGAUUAAGACAAAUUUAUCUAUUUUUUUCCUUCUUUUUGCUUGUUCUUUUGGUGUCGUAUCUAAUAAACCAUUGCCUAAUCUAAGGUCACAGAGAUUAUGUCCAUUUUUUCUUCUUUUGUUUCUUUUAAUAAGAGUCUCAUCAUUUUAGCUCUCACAUUUAGGUCUUUCAUCUAUUUUGAAUCCAAUUUUGAAUAUAGUGUAAUGAAGAGGUCAGCUCACUGUUUUUGUAUGAUACCCAGUUGUCCCAGCACCAUUUAUUAAAAAUACUAUUCCUUUCUCCUACUAAAUUGUCUUAGCAUCCCUGUCAAAAAUCAACCGAUUAUAAAUGCAAGGGUAUAUUUCUGAACUUUUAAGUAUGCUCCAUUGAUCUGUCUGUCCUUAUCAAGUACCAAACUGUCUUAAUUAUUGAAGCUCUGUAGUUAGUUUUGAAAUUAGAGUAUGAGUCUUCCAACCUUGUUCUCAUUUCUCAAGAUUGUUUUGGCUAUUCUGGAUCUCUUGCAUUUCCAUAUGAAUUUAUAACCAGCUUGUCAAUUUCUACAUAGAAGCCAGCUGAGAUUUUCAUAGAUUGUGCUUAAACUGUAGGUCCAUUUGGGGAGUAUUGCCAUGCCAACGAUAGUAAGUCUUCCGAUCCAUGUACAUAGGAUGUCUUCCCAUUUACUUAGGUCUUCUUUAAUUUCUUUUAAUAGUGUUCUGGUCUUCAGAGUAUAAGUUUCACACUUCUGUUGAGUUUAUUCCUAAAAUUUUAUUAUUUUUUAUGGUAUUGUAGAUGUAAAACCACUGGAGUGUGCACAGUGGGAUGGACCUCACACCUGUGGAUACAAUUCCAUGAAUAUAACCAAAGACAAAGAUAGCUUUUUGUGGGAGGGGAUGACAUAGAAUAGAGUACGGUGGUCUACACAACAACAUCACAUUUUGACUCAUGUCAAGAGAAAACCAUCACACUUUUUCAGGUCUUCUGCUUCUGUGCUGUGCUUCCCACACUCUAUACCUGGACUGGUUGCCCCGAGAAGCUAAAGGUAGCACAUUGGCUUUUCCAUUUAAUAAGUUUGGAUUCAACCCACUGUUAAUAGUCUAUGAGAUUAGUUUGUAUAUUGAUUCUGACCCUGGUCAUAUCUUUGUCCUUCAGCCUAUCCACAAAUGUAAUAGACAUAUCCUCUUUAGGGUUUUUGUUCAAGCCAAUGCUAAACAUGUUCAGCAGGACUUUGCCAAGAACAGAUGCUUGAGGUCCUGAGUUCAGAACCUCUCUCUGAGAUCAUUGAAUUUCAGCCCCUGAAUAACAGUAUCCAACCAGUCCCCAAGCCACCCAGUGGUCUUCAUACCCAAUUCAUUAGUCCUUGCAUCCAAUCCAUAUGGCAACCCCAUUGAACUUAUCAAAUGCCCCAUUCAAUUCCUAAAUCCUUGAUCUAUUUCAUCUCUACCAGUCUAGUAAUCCUAUCAAAGAAAGAGACAAUUUAUCUGACAGAGCUUUUUCUUUCUGAGCCUGCAGUGGGUCCUGGUGAUUCUUGCUUUCUAUCUGUUCGUAAACCAUAAGUCUCCUUUAACAAUCAUUUUUGAAUUGGAUGCACCAAAUUCACUAGCCAGUUACUUUCUUAUGAUAAGAGAAUUAACUUCAGAUGAAGAAACAGGAUCACAUGGGUUAAAGUCAUGCAUAAGGCUGGUAAGUGUGGAGGGAAGUCUAGAAUCCAAGGCUUAUGAUGACUUAUUCUGUGCCCCCUCCAUUCACAAUGGAGGAGGUUCCUAUUUGACAAUGACAGGAGCAAGUGUGAAUGUGGGAAGCUACUCAGAAACUCCACGUCCUCAGGUAAACUCAGGUGUUCAACUUACUGUGCCCAAAGUGAUAUACUGCUACAUACAAGUGAUGUGGUUGCCUCAGCAACCACUAGAGAAUGAGCAGAACAAGAAAAAGAAUCGUUUGAACCACAUCUGUGGUAUCAUAUUAUCUCCUUUAAUUCAGGUUCCUCUUUGACCUGAAUUAUCUGGAUUUUAUUAGUUGAAAAAGCAUCUAUCGACUCAUGUUGUUUUAGGCCCCACGGUAGGCUCUGAAGAUCUUGAGAUGUGAGAGGCACAGAGAAACUUUACAGACAAAUGUUGCUCUUCACACCCACCGAUCGCAUGGAACUGUGAUUUGUGAAUCACGUACGGCCACAUCCCUUGUUCUAACAUUUCUCAUCUCGGACAGCCUGGCGUAUCUCGAGGAGUGGCGGGGCACAGGGAAACUUUAAACAGAAUCAUUACGUAUAGAUAGUGGGUGCCAUAGCCUGCACUGAGCCUCCUCUGCCAGAGCCGUGGAAGGGGUGGCUGAAUUUUUCUCCCUCGUUGACCAAUUUGGGAAUGAUUUUAAAACAGCCCUUGCUGUUUGUUUGCUGUUUGCUUUCCCUUUAGGAAAAUAAACUCAGUCACAGUAAAAUAGCUGAACAAAUGGGUAGUUGGGAGCCUUUUAUAACAUUCAGCAUCAGAAGGAAUCUUGUAAGGCGUGUUCCAAAAAACCGUUGAGGAUUUGAGGUGACCUUAAACUUGGCAUUUCUCAUUAGAAAGACUUCAGUCACCCUGAAAAGAAGGAAAACCUCCAUUUAAAAAAACAGUGAACAGCAGAUUUUCCUAGAGCCCAUGGCCACACAGGCCACUUGAAUGAGACUUCAGAGCUGUCGCAUGCCGGCAAGAUGGCGCCCCUUAAGGCCUCCAGUUGCCUCAUGUCACAUCAGCCAUGUGAUGCUAAGUCAGGAACCUGAAACAUAAAGCCCAUCAUCCACUGGCUCCUUCAGUGAAAUGACUCAGGGGGCUGUGAAGUCAGGCUUGGUCCUGAGAAAGGUCAAGAGCGGCAUGGAUCAGACUCUCAUUUGGAGGAUCUUUUGGCCUGGCAGGUGGCCAACGUUCUUCCAUUGAUGUGGGGGAUUUGUAAGCUCAGUCACUCACUCCUCUGUCAGGGGCCAGACCCUACAGAUGUUUCAGAGAGAGUAGAUGCUUGGAGCCACAAGCGACUAAAGACGGGGUAAACCCAAUGGUGUUAAGCACGAGGGCCAUGCGGUCAGAUGGCACUUGGGUUUUGGAUACGCCGUCACGAACUCUGCAGGUGACCUAUUCUCUGAGCUCUGUUUCCUUCUUUCAUAAAAUGAAGACACACUAGAUACAUACGAGAGAGGAUCUUUAGAUCAAUACAUGUAAAGGGCUCAGUGUCUGGUACACAGUAAAUGCUCAAUAAAUGUGUGUUACCAUCAGUGCCACAACUCCUUCGUCUUGGGGGUGUGGGAGGAGAGAGCCAGAGCAGAAACACGAAUCCUUCGAGGUAGCUAUUUUGUCCGAUAGAUGCGCUGCUUAGGGAUGCAGCCCUUCCAAUGACAAGCUUUCUGGUUUUGAGCAUCGUCCCCAGGAGAUGACAAGCAGCAGGGAGAACAGACUGAAAGGUUCGAGGCAGCAGCUGGCACCUGGGGGCAGAUGCACGGGGUGCGCAGUGCGAGGGGGAACGGCAGAGUGAGUCCUCCCCCUGUCCACCUCACCUUGGACAGUCUGCUUGAUUUGUUAGCACCUCCCAAAUCCCUUCCCUGGGUUACUGUUUGCUUGCUUUUUUGUUUUAUUUUUGCAUUUUGGAUCUGAGGCAGAGGAAAUGCACCCCUCUGGCCAUUUACAGGUGACCCAGAUGGGGACAGGAUGGUGCAUUCCCCAACUGCGGGGUUCACAGCAAUCCCCAAAGCCUGUGAGAAGAUGAAACUGCUAAUAAAAAAAAAGUAGGAGAGAGACACACACACUUGGGUUCAAAACAGACUGUGUGAACCACUGCUCUCCGGUCCUAGCUGGUUCUGCAGCUCUCGUGCCUUCAUGCAGCUGGAUCAUCAGGGACCUCUGUUUCCAUCCUGCUACCCGUGGGAGAGGUAGGUGGUCUGCCGCCAGCCACCCCCUUGUACCCAGAAGCAGAAGCUGCUCCCUUCUAGAUGCGUCCAUUCUCCCAACAGUGUGAGCGUCCUGUCCUCUUACUUAGGCUGGGAGCAAAUAUACAGUGUGCUCAUGUCACAGGCGCAGGGCCUAAGGGUUUUCCCAUCACUAUAGCGACAAGCCUUCUCUCUCCUACUCAGACUCUGGUUUUAUUCUGGAAGGCAGAUGCCGGAUUGGGAGGGAAUAAGCCCAUUGCAUUGUGGCCAAUUCGGGUGGCCACUCAUGGAUGGUGCCAUCUAGGGAGGGACAGCAGGGCGGCCCUACAAAUGGAAAGCAGGCCCCAAUAGUGGCUAGCCCUCACAGAAUGCUUCUGAAUCCCUUCAUGUGCUUUAUGCCUCUUAAAUGUCACAACAAACCUACACCUUAGGGGUUCUUCCUACUAAGCCUAGUUUGCAUAGGAGGAAACUGAGGCCUAGAGGGUCAUGCUUCAGUGACAGAGCCAGGCUGGCAUGUAGGCGAUUUGAUCCCAGAGCUGCCACACAGCCUUGUCAUGGGUGUGAAGAUGUCUGGACUCUGGACAAAGAGGAGAUAAGGGGUGGGGAGGGCAAGCUGGCCACUUUUUUCAAUACCUGAAGAAAGAGGAAUCAGAACUGACUCCAUAUAAUGAAAGGCCAAUUAGAACUUUCCAAAUGUGGACAGGCUACCUUGUUUCAGAGAUGAGGGAGGGUGAGAGUUUCCUACACCUGGAGGAUCCAAGCAGAGGCUGUGUGAUUCCAGCAUGAGGCCCCUCUAGCAGGCAGAGCAGGAGUGCAGGUAGUGGAAGGAGCCCUUCAGAGGUGGCCGGAGGGUCAGGAGCCCAAGCCCGUCUUAGGGGACCUGGGUGGGGCCAUCAGAGGCCCACGCAGCCUCAGCUCCCCUCUCUAUCUUCUCUUUCACUCUUCUGUGUGCCUGGCUCUCCUUCUCUCUCUCUGCUUCAGCCACUCUCCUCACUCACCAAGCUGUAGCCAUACCAGGGUUUCUGGAAGAGGCCAAGUGCUUUCUGCUCCAAAGCGUUUUUGCAUAAGUCGUGGCCUCUGCCUUCUCUUGUUCAUGUCACCAACUCCUGCUCAUCCUUUAGAUCCAACUCAAACGUGACCUCCGGGAAGCCUUCCCUGACCACCUCAUCCCUGUGGGGAGCCUGAUGUGGGACUCGAUCCCAGGACCCCGGGAUCACGCCCUGAGCUGAAGACAGACGCUCAACCACUGAGCCACCCAGGUGCCCCGAAAAUUUGCCUUUUUAAUGAGUUCCCAGGUAGUGUGGAUGCUGCUGGCCACAGAGCCACACUAUGGAAACCAUUGGAUUUGACAAUCUGCAGGUCCUCUGAGGCACUUGUUUUUAAAUUUUCCAAAUCGAGUAAAUGAAUAUGAAAGUUC